rnacentral:lncRNA from 1 species
GGCAUGGUGGUGUCUGUUAAUAUCCCCAGGAAAAGGAAGGUGGAGGCAGGAGGAUCCUUGGCUACUGAGCAAGGUAGCCUGGGCUAGCUCUAUCUCAAAGCAAAAACAAUAGCAGAAGUGUAUGAAUCUAUGUUAAUUCAUUAUAUACAUUUAAAUGCAAUUAAGUUCAAUGGGAUCCUAAAACAUAAACACAGUAGGUAUUUUGCUUGUUUGUUUGAGAUAGUGUCUGUCGCAGUCCAUGCCUUGAAUUCACUAUUAAACUGGGAAGGACUUAGCUGACUUCCAAGACAUAUACCACUACACUGGGCAAAUUUUGGAACUCUUCAAUGAAAGUCAUAAAAUUUUAACUUGCUCCUUUCCAAUGGGAUCCAGCCACACUUAUUCUUUCCAUGGCAACUUUUUUUUCCAACUUUGAAAUACUGUAGCCAGGCAUGCUAGCCCAUACCUAUUGUCUUAUCCUGGGAGGCAAAGCCAGGAGGGUCACGAGUCUGGGGCCAGCCUGGGCUACAGUUCAAGCCUAGGGCAUUCUGGGAUAUAUAGCAAGAUCCUAUCUCAAGAAGUUAAAUUAAGUGAAUUAAUAAUAAAGUAUGAAAUAUUUCAAAUAAAAAAAUCCAUUGAGGUAACAGAAAGGUUAGAAACACUUAAAGCCCUUGUCCCUCCACCUGCUUGGUGAUGAUCUCCAAGGCCACUGCCUGCCAUCAGCAGGCCCUGCCCAUUCAGAUGUCUAGAUCCUAGAUAGGCGUAUGCUCCAGACAUGGUCACUUCCACCGUUUAUGACCUUUGUGUGCAUGCUGUUCAGGGAGCUACAGAGAUCCUUCAACCUCUGCUUCCUCAGUGCUGGGGUUGUAAGCACACACACUCACAUAUAGGUCUUCUUGUUGUUGUUGUUUGUUUUUAUUUAUUUUUUACAUAGGUUCUGGGAAGUAAAUUCAGAUCCUCAAGCUUACGAGGCACUGUAUAGCUUGAACCACCUCCAGUCUGUGUGCGUUUUAAAAUUCUUAUGUGGACUGGUAUGCUUUUAUUAAUUACUUUUCUAUUGCAGUGAUGGAAUACCACGACCAAGACGACUUAUAAAAGGACGUGUUUAAUGGUUUUAGAGGGUUAGUCUGUGAUGGCAGCAGGCACUGCUGAGAGCUCACAUCUCAAGCAGCAAGCAGGAAACAGAAAACAUUGGGAAUGGCAGUGUCUUUUUUUAAAGCCCAUCCCUAUGACACACCUUCUCCAAUGAGGCCACACAUCCUAAUCCUUCCCAAACAGUUCCACUAACUGGGGAAGCAUAUGGAUUUAUGAGGGUCAGUCUCAUUCAAACCACCACGGGUUUUAAUGUUUGUCUCGUUUUGGUUCCCUCUCCCUCCCCACCUCUCUUUCCCUCUCCCUCUCUCCCCCCGCCCCAGCGUGUGUGUGUGUGUGUGUGUGUGUGUGCAUGCACACAUGUGCUCGCAUAGCUGUGGCUGUGCUGUGUUGCUGUGGAUUCAUGAUCAGAGGUUAGUAGACAACUUUCAGGACUGGUUCUUUUCUUUCACUGUGUAGGUCCCAGGGACUGAACUCAGCUGCCCAGGCUUGGUAAUGGUGCCUUUACCCACGGAGCCAUCUCGGCAGCCUUUUGCUUGUUUUUCAGAAGCUUGCUAUUCACUAUGGAUUUGAUAUUUCUCUGUGUUAAUACACACACACCCAUUUCAGCUGCCACUGGGGGGCCUCCCCUGUGACUGUCCACAGUGGAUCCCUUGGGACUGUUUCCUUCUUCGCUGUACAGCUGGGCACACACUCCCAUGCAAUCUGUCCACGUGCACAGGAAUGGACUGGGCUUUGAAAACCUUCAUCAGUAGAGUGUCUGCCCAGGGAGCUUGAGAACAUGCAGAUCUGGGCUCUGCCUUGGACUGAAUCUCAGCGGCAUGGCUGUGUAGAGAAUCUAGGAGCUGCAGCUAGAGAUGGAAGGGGUGUGUUAGAGUGUUUCUGGCUUUGUAAGAUCCUGCCAGACCAAAUGCAGGUUUUCAGAUCCACAAGGCCUGAAUUUCUGUUCUCCCGUGUCCUGUGUCCUCUUGAAUACCUCUCAACAGUCAGCACCGUUUACAUUUGUGUCCAUCUGAAGAAGUCUCUUCUCACAUGCGCAUGCACACUUUGAUUUUGUAAGAGUUACUUCUUGUUUUUAAUUGUGUGUGUGUGCACAUGUUUGUGUGUGUGUGCACAUGUGUGUGUGUGUGGGUACCUGCAGAGGCCAGAGAGUUAGAGUUUCAGGUAUCUGAUGUAGAUGCUGGGGACCAAGCUGCAAAAGCAGCAAAUGCUCUUAGCCUCUGAGCCGUCUCCCCAGUCCACCAUUUGGUUUUUUCUCUGAAGCUAUGUGGCCUAUUAGGCUGGGCUUAUGUUGAUCUCCCUACCUCUGUCUGUCUCAUAAACUAAGAUGACAUUCUCAGGCCCAGCUGCUAUCUCUCACUUUCAUUGACUUAUUUUUCCUUUUAAAUCCUAGUAUAGUUGAGAAUGUUCUUAAGUUUAUUAGACACGUGGGUCUUCAGAUAGGAGAAAUGGGGUGAUCUGAAUUUCAUAUACAAAAAUAAAUUCCAAGGCAGAUUACAGACCUAACUGUGAAAAGUAAACAUUUUAAAUUUUUUUGAAGAAAAAUAAAGAUGAACAACAGCAAUUUCUUAAUGGUACAGAAAGUACUGGGAGAAGGGAAAGAUUGCUUAUUUCAGGACAUAUUAAACUGUGUGACAGACGAUACCAUCCACAAAGUGGGAGGGCCAGACCACAGUCCAGCAACAGCCAUUUGCAAACCAUUUGACCAAUGAGGAUUAGCUUCC